rnacentral:rRNA from 1 species
AGUGAACGCUGGCGGUAGGCCUAACACAUGCAAGUCGAACGGCAGCACAGUAAGAGCUUGCUCUUACGGGUGGCGAGUGGCGGACGGGUGAGGAAUACAUCGGAAUCUACUUUUUCGUGGGGGAUAACGUAGGGAAACUUACGCUAAUACCGCAUACGACCUACGGGUGAAAGCAGGGGAUCUUCGGACCUUGCGCGAUUGAAUGAGCCGAUGUCGGAUUAGCUAGUUGGCGGGGUAAAGGCCCACCAAGGCGACGAUCCGUAGCUGGUCUGAGAGGAUGAUCAGCCACACGGUAACUGAGAAACGGCCCAGACUCCUACGGGAGGCAGCAGUGGGGAAUAUUGGACAAUGGGCGCAAGCCUGAUCCAGCCAUACCGCGUGGGUGAAGAAGGCCUUCGGGUUGUAAAGCCCUUUUGUUGGGAAAGAAAAGCAGCAGGUUAAUACCCCGCUGUUCUGACGGUACCCAAAGAAUAAGCACCGGCUAACUUCGUG